rnacentral:rRNA from 1 species
GUCGAGCGGUAGAGAGAAGCUUGCUUCUCUUGAGAGCGGCGGACGGGUGAGUAAUGCCUAGGAAUCUGCCUGGUAGUGGGGGAUAACGUUCGGAAACGGACGCUAAUACCGCAUACGUCCUACGGGAGAAAGCAGGGGACCUUCGGGCCUUGCGCUAUCAGAUGAGCCUAGGUCGGAUUAGCUAGUUGGUGAGGUAAUGGCUCACCAAGGCGACGAUCCGUAACUGGUCUGAGAGGAUGAUCAGUCACACUGGAACUGAGACACGGUCCAGACUCCUACGGGAGGCAGCAGUGGGGAAUAUUGGACAAUGGGCGAAAGCCUGAUCCAGCCAUGCCGCGUGUGUGAAGAAGGUCUUCGGAUUGUAAA